AAGGGAGGAAACUCUGAACCAGCCAUCCCGCGUGAAGGAUGAAGGGCCUCUGCCUUGUAAACUUCUUUUGUCUGGGGCGAAAAAGCUCGAUUUAUCGAGAACUGACGGUACCAGAAGAAUAAGCACCGGCUAACUCCGUGCCAGCAGCCGCGGUAAUACGGAGGGUGCAAGCGUUAUCCGGAAUCACUGGGUUUAAAGGGUGCGUAGGUGGGUUGGUAAGUCAGUGGUGACAUCCCCGAGCUUAACUUGGGAACAGCCAUUGAUACUAUCAGUCUUGAAUACCGUGGAGGUCAGCGGAAUAUGUCAUGUAGCGGUGAAAUGCUUAGAUAUGACAUAGAACACCAAUUGCGAAGGCAGCCGGCUACCCGAAUAUUGACACUGAGGCACGAAAGCGUGGGGAUCAAA
rnacentral:rRNA from 1 species